CCCGGCGCCGGGGCGGAGCGGCUCUGAGCGGCGCGGCCCGGCCUCUGGGGCUUUCCACCGUUUUCGUUUUAGUAAAGGAGUGACUUAUCCUUCCAGUUUCAAAAUGAAGACAGUUUUCACCUUAUACAUCAAAAGAAGAAACGUCACAUGGCUGACAAUACUGAAGGACUUCUAGAAAGACUGAGGCGGCUGCCACCACUAUCUAGAGUCUGAUACACAGCUGUAUGGAGAAUUUUAAUUAUCUGAAUGUUUUAUAUUGUCUGGUUUCCUCUUGGCUGUGAAAACUCGUCCAACUGGGGUGGACUGUAAACAUGCCUGGAUUUCUGUCUGAUCACCAGUGCCACCGCCUGGCUCUGACUGUCAUCACAAGGUGGUUGUAAGCCCAACUUAAAAUCUUAAAAACAAUAGUUCUUGGAAAUGACACAUUCACCUCUUCUUUAUUUGGUUAGACACACAAGAAAAGAUAGCACUCUUGGCUGCAACCAGACAAAUUCCUAGUGAGUCCAACAUAAACUCAGAUUUGGAUGGGCUCAGCCUCAUUCAGUAUCUGACCUACAACUGAAGAAACUGCACAAGGAAUGCACUGUAGGAUUCCAGCAGAUAUCCAGAGGUUUUGCUAAAUCUCCAGAAAUAGAUUCCAUCCUAUUCAAAGUUUAAAAUUAUGAGAUUUCUUGCUGAAGUCAGAGUAAGAUUUUUAACACAGGAUCAAGGCCCUCUCUGAAAAGCUGUAUUUAAAACUCUAAAAAAGCAGGGGAAAGGUACAUUACAAAUGAGAUAGAAGGAGUAAAGAAGUUUUAACAGACAAGCAGGGCAAAUAAAACAUCCUGUUUGAGGCCAGAUACAGCAUCCAGGAAGGCUCAGGCAUUAUAAAUAGACAUGAAUUUGCUUUAUUAUAAAUUUAUCACAUCCACGCAGUGACAAUGGUACAAUCUGAUUUAUUUCCCAGACCUUGUAAGCUCUGGUUGAUACUCUGUAGUUGAAAAACAUCAGGAGAGAGGGUCUUGCCAAGAACAUCAGAGUCAGAAAGUGAAAGCCCCUGCCAAGGCCAUGAGUUCAGAGGGUAGGAAAUUUCCAAGAUGAAAUUUAUCAGGGGCUUAAAAAGCAUCCCAGUACCUGUGGAGAAAAACACCCUGAGCUUUCCAGAACACUUUUAGUUGAAGACAGAAAGGAAGAGCCCACUUGGUAUGGUAGAUGAGUAAACAGGUUUAGCUGAUGAAUCAGCCAUGGUCAGAGCAAAAAAACUGACUUUGAAGCAGAGUGAGAAUAAUCCUUCAGUGGUGUCUACGCUCCCUUACACGUGAUGAAUUCUCUCUGCAUUGCUUGUCUGCAGGAGUACUAUCAUGGUUCUCUCUGGAGACCCUCAGGCAUAGCUAACAACAUAAAACUAUUCACUGCACCCAUUUGCAAUAUUAACAGGUUAUUCCAUAUCUUCUCCCAGUCAUACAGGCUGGUCAAUCCAGGGUCCUUCCCUGAAGGUGCUCCAGUGUGUCUCCUGCAAGGAUUCUGACAUCUGUCCCAGCAAACAGGCAUUUGGUGUGUGCACUCUCAGGUCUAGAUAGAUGCAGUUUUCUACAGAAUAUAGUAUGAACAUUAAUCAUUAAUGUACCAUCUCUUCCCAGCCAGUGAAGGCUGGUAGGUGAAAGGUUCAAUGAAAGCAAAAGGAUUUGCUUUGCAAAAAAUUAUCUUUCACAUAGCUAAGUUGUGGAGCACCUUGCCACAGAUGCUGCAAAUGAUGAAAAUUUACUUGGGCUCAAGAGGAGUCUUGGUAGGUUAAGAAAGAGAAACAAGAAGAGGGUUAGUAAAUACACAGAAGCCACCUCUGCCUUGAGAAGUCACCGAGCCACAGAUGGCUGUAGAAUAGUAGUCAAAAACCCUGUCAUGAUUUCUUGCCUACUGUAUUCCAGACAUCCAUUCUGGACCUCCAGGUACUAUCCUAGGUGGAUAAGGAAUAGACACUUUACAGUCUUCUGAUUCAGAGUCCCAUGGGAUUGAGUACACACGGAAGUUUUAUCGAAGCUGAAGCACAAUCCACCUUCACCCACCUAUGGGUUGCCCAAGGUUACUUAAAGUGUUAAUGACAAAGCUACAAAUAAAACAGAAUUAUCUCAGCACAUUCACUCAUUCCAAUGACUCAGUCCUGUCUGUACACAGCAAAUAAAUAAUUAACAAGCAUUGAAAACAGCACACCUGUAGUACAGCUCUAAUUUGUCCUAUUGCUCUUGCACACACCAUUAUUCUAUCCAUAUGUAAAUAUGAUCAGAGGUUAUUUACAUUUUAACAUAAAAACUAUGUAUUACACUUUGUGUAAUUUCCACUAAUAAUGUUUAUGAAGCUAUAAUAUUACAGCAAACAGUGAUUUAUGGUAAAAGACAGCCAUUUCAUGGAAACAUGUGGUGUCAUAAAAAUAAUUCUGCUGAAAUAAAAGUGAGGAAACAGUUAACAAUGUUACAUUUUCAGUAUCAGGUUUCAGGAUAACAACCAGCUGCUUGAAUGCAAGAGAAGAAAUAUCUCUCAAGUUCAAGUUUAAGCCAGGUUGCUGGCAGGACUUUGGCGUCAUGCACUGCUGUCACAUUCCACCCAGCUUCUGAAUGCCAGCUUUGCAAUGUAAAAUAUUUAAAUACAAUCCUUCCAUCUUCCAAUUCAUACUUCUGCUAAGAAAAUGCAAAUUUAUAGAAAAUUCCAUAUCCAGGGAGCCAUGUGUAUUAAAUUCUCAGAAAGAUCGAUGUUUUCUGCUUGUGUAGCUGCUUUUCAAUAAGCUGUUGUACACUGUGUGCUCUUCUAACCUGCUUUCCCUAUGUGUGCUCUUAGGGAACAGCUGUGUAGUCAUUUUAAUCUGACAUAAAUUUGGCCUGUCUCUAACAUGGUUAGUCCCACCAUUCUUGUUCCCAGCUACUCUGAUUCACUGCCUCCCUCACUUAUGUACCUGAGCUGUAAGUUGUAUCAGGGAUCACAUCCUACUAAAAACAUAAUCUCUCUCCCAGUUUGCUGAGUCAGGUUUGGCUUUGUGCUGUGUUUAAUCUGAUCGAACUCUGUCCUGUCCCCUCCCUGUGCCACCCACAGCAUGCUAGAAAACACAUUAA